rnacentral:rRNA from 1 species
CAGUAGCCGCGGUAAUACGAAGGGUGCAAGCGUUACUCGGAAUUACUGGGCGUAAAGCGCGCGUAGGUGGUGGUUUAAGUCCGUUGUGAAAGCCCUGGGCUCAACCUGGGAAUUGCAGUGGAUACUGGGUCACUAGAGUGUGGUAGAGGAUAGUGGAAUUUCCGGUGUAGCAGUGAAAUGCGUAGAGAUCGGAAGGAACAUCUGUGGCGAAGGCGACUAUCUGGGCCAACACUGACACUGAGGCACGAAAGCGUGGGGAGCAAACAGGAUUAGAUACCCCAGUAGUCCCUGUCUCUUAUAU